rnacentral:pre_miRNA from 9 species
UCUCGACAGCGUAAAAGUUAAGCCAAUUUUGUAUGGAGUUGGAACGUUUGCCUAUGUUUGGCGUAGGGGCGCUGUUCCAACUACAUACAAAUUUCAGGUGACUUUUACGCUUUCGA